rnacentral:rRNA from 1 species
AUGCAGUGUGUCCUUCACAGCAUGCAGUAUGUAAUGCGACUGCCGCUGCGCGUCGCUCAUCAGAGCAGCGACCUGAACCGGUCGCCCUCGGUCUGGACGCGGUCACGGGUGAUCUCGGCAACGCUCCGGCAGCCGCAGAGCGCCAUGGCCAGCUCCAGCUCCCUGUUGAGCAUCUCGAUCACGUGCUUCGCCCCCGCCUGGCCCCUCGCUGCCAGCCCGUACAGCACCGGCCUCCCCACCAUGACUGCCCGCGCACCCAGCGCCAGCGCCUUGAGCAGGUCGGUCCCCCGCCGGACUCCGCCGUCCACCAGCACCGGGACCGCCCCCACCACCGCCUUCACUACCUACACACACACACACACACAAUACACCGCCUUCAGAAUGUGCUUUGUGAUGCUGCACUGCACACACACACCCUUUGAACAAAAUGGAAGACGACGGGCAUGGUGCGGUGUACCUCUUCGAGGGCGGAUAUGGUGGCCGGCGCGUAGUCGAGCUGCCGAGCGCCGUGGUUGGACACGAUGA